rnacentral:rRNA from 1 species
GACGAACGCUGGCGGCGUGCUUAACACAUGCAAGUCGAACGGAAAGGCCCUGCUUUUGUGGGGUGCUCGAGUGGCGAACGGGUGAGUAACACGUGAGUAACCUGCCCUUGACUUUGGGAUAACUUCAGGAAACUGGGGCUAAUACCGGAUAGGAGCUCCUGCUGCAUGGUGGGGGUUGGAAAGUUUCGGCGGUUGGGGCUGGACUCGCGGCUUAUCAGCUUGUUGGUGGGGUAGUGGCUUACCAAGGCUUUGACGGGUAGCCGGCCUGAGAGGGUGACCGGCGACAUUGGGACUGAGAGACGGACCAGACUGCAACGGGAGGCAGCAGUGGGGAAUAUUGCACAAUGGGCGGAAGCCUGAUGCAGCAACGCCGCGUGCGGGAUGACGGCCUUCGGGUUGUAAACCGCUGCCGCCUGUGACGAAGCGUGAGUGACGGUAAUGGGUAAAGAAGCACCGGCUAACUACGUG